AGCUGCAGUCGAGAUCUUUCGCAAUGGGCGAAGCCCGACGAAGCGACGCCGUGUGAGCGAAGAAGGCCUUCGGGUUGUAAAGCUCUUUCGCCAGGGAACAAGAAAUGGUAGUGAAUAACUACCAAAUUUGAGGGUACUUGGUAAAGAAGCACCGGCUAACUCC
rnacentral:rRNA from 1 species